AUUGAACGCUGGCGGCAGGCCUAACACAUGCAAGUCGAACGGUAACAGGAAGCAGCUUGCUGCUUUGCUGACGAGUGGCGGACGGGUGAGUAAUGUCUGGGAAACUGCCUGAUGGAGGGGGAUAACUACUGGAAACGGUAGCUAAUACCGCAUAACGUCGCAAGACCAAAGAGGGGGACCUUCGGGCCUCUUGCCAUCGGAUGUGCCCAGAUGGGAUUAGCUAGUAGGUGGGGUAACGGCUCACCUAGGCGACGAUCCCUAGCUGGUCUGAGAGGAUGACCAGCCACACUGGAACUGAGACACGGUCCAGACUCCUACGGGAGGCAGCAGUGGGGAAUAUUGCACAAUGGGCGCAAGCCUGAUGCAGCCAUGCCGCGUGUAUGAAGAAGGCCUUCGGGUUGUAAAGUACUUUCAGCGGGGAGAAAGGGAGUAAAGUUAAUACCUUUGCUCAUUGACGUUACCCGCAGAAGAAGCACCGGCUAACUCCGUG
rnacentral:rRNA from 1 species